GAUGAACGCUGGCGGCGUGCCUAACACAUGCAAGUCGAACGAGAAGUGAAGACGCAUACUCUCCGGCGGAAGGCUUUAUUUCGAGUAGCGGCACGGUGAGUAACUCGCUGGUAACCUGCGUUAUACAGGGGGAUAACAGUCUGAAACCACUGUUUAUAUCGCAUAAGACCACACCAUCGUAUGAUGCGGUGGUAAAAACACGGAUAGUAUGAGAGGGACCCGCGUUGGAUUAGACAGUUGUCGGGGUAAAGCCCCACCAAAGCGACGAUCGAGAGCCGAUCAGAGAGGCUGAGUGGCGACACUGGGACUGAGACACGGCCGAGACUCCUACGGGAGGCAGGAGUGGGGAAUAGUGCACAAUGGGGGAAACCCUGAUGCAGCGAGGACGCGUGAGUGAUGAAGUAUGUAGGGAUGUAAAGCGCUAUCAACAGGGAAGAUAAUGACGGUACCUGAGCAAGAAGCCCCGGCUAACUACGUG
rnacentral:rRNA from 1 species